rnacentral:lncRNA from 10 species
UGAUCUGCCUGCCUUGCCUCCUAAAGUGCUGGAAUUACAGGCGUGAGCCACUGCACUUGGCCUACAACUUCCGUUUGACACUGGAGCGGUCCUAAUCUGCAUAUCCAAGAGCAAUGUAUGUGAACCUACGUUUCCACAGCCUCACCCACAGAAUGUGUGCUCAAACAUUUGGAUUUUUGCCCAUCUACUAGUGCUCCUGACUGGAGAGCCCAGGCUGAGAUGGUGUUAAAUGCUUUUACCACGUGGGCUCCUGGCACCAAAUGAGCAAGAUCUCACCCCACAGGCCUUGGAAACCUGAGGCAGUAUUCUUCUGGGAUGUUUCCAACUAGGCUUCCCAUGAGG